UCUCCCCUUCUAGAGUUUUCUUUUUUCUUUCUUUUGAGUUUCAAUCUUUGAGACAAGAUUUCUCUCUUAAUUCUUGCCGAAUUUAAGUGCCGUUUGAGGCAAAACGAAGAGCACGAUGAGCUCUGCGCACUAGUACCAGAAAUUUCAGCUUUGGUGCCCUCCUUGGAUUUCAAAAUUUAGAACCCAUUUCAAAGGUUUUGUCCAAUCUUGAGAAGCUAGAUGGUGAGGAUGCAAGAAUUGCAGACUACUUUGACGUGAUUGCAGGGACGAGCACAGGUGGACUUGUGACUGCCAUGCUUACUGCACCGAAUGAAAAGAACCGUCCUUUUUUUUUUUGCAGCCAAGGAUAUCAAAGACUUCUACCUCGAAAGCUGCCCUAAAAUCUUUCCUCAACCAUGGUCUCCAUUUCCUCAUACAACAAAGAUAAUUAAAGCCCUAUCAGGACCAAAAUACGAUGGGAA